UUAGUCCUCACUUGCUACACUACCUCAGAACUGCCGUCAAAGUGAACCAGCACAGGACUCUCAGAUGACCUGCUACACAGCUUUGUUUUUAAAUUUACAAGGCAAAAGAACAUGGAGAACAAAGACAGCAGGAUGACAACAGAAUGGAACUCAACAAUGGAAAACAGAAAGCAAUCAGAUAGCAAACAAACAAGAACUGACAUGAAAACCCAAAAAGAAACUUUAAAAAGACAAAGGCAACUGAUAUGUCAAGCAAUGGAGGAGAUCGAACAACUCUGGAGACAGACAGAAAGAAAGACAAAUGAAAUUGACUUCUUAAAGACAAAGACAGAGGGGCAACAGGAAGACAUUGAGAGACUGACAUCUGAAAAAAAUAAACAUCACCUACUAUUAAAGCAAUUUAACUUCCAAAUAAAAAAUAUAACUGAGAAACUCAAACAAAGCAAAAAUUCAGUUGCUAAGGAAAAAACAAACUUUCUGAAAACGUGGACUAAAAUAUAUCAAGAAAAGGAUACUCUGGACAGAAGACGUCAAUACUUCAUCAACGAGCGACACAAGCUAGACACUAUAAAAGCUAGUAAGACAGAAUCACCAAUAAGGGAGGAACCCAAAGAGCCCCUUAAUGAGCAGGUAAAGCGGGAACUGGAUAUACUGGAGAAUGCAACUGAGAAAAACAGGGAAAUAAUGCUUGAAGUAAAGAAAGUUAAAGAAAAAAUGGAGAAAACUAAAGCAAACAUACAGCAAGCAUUAAAAAGAAAUAAAAAGGACAUUUCAAAAAACAGUGAACAAAUUAACCACAUUAAACAUAUUAUGUAUGUAAAGAUCAACAUGGUCAAGCACAGAUGGGCAAGCAUUAUAAAACAGGCUGAAAUGAAGAAAAUUCACAUGUAUAAAGAAGGACAGAGAGAAAGAAACGAUGGAAAAGCCACAUUUGACACAGUGAAGAGAAAACUGUGUAGAAUCCAGGAAGAGAUGGAGAAACUUUGGGAUGUGCUGGAAGACAGUGAACAACAACUGGAAGUGACUCAAAGUGCAAAGCAGCAGCUAAUGGCAGAGAACAAUCACAUGAACAUCAAGAUGAAUAUUGAUUAUCAAAAGCAACAAGAUUCAGAUCUAAGCUUUAAAGUGACACACAUCCAGCCUGAAAGAGAUGAUUUAAAGAGAGUUGAAAUGAAACUAAAGACAGGAAGGGAAAAUGUAGAAAAAGACAAACCAAAUACUUACAUGCAGAAUUUGAUCUCUGAGGAAGAAGAAAACAAUGAAGUGCUUUGUAACAAGGGUGAAGAAACAAAGCAGAGCAUGAGGGACUUUACAGAAGUAAAGGCUCAAACGAAAUGGACAAAUUUUCGAGAAAAGCAAAAAAGAAGGGAGCUUGAGCGUUUGCUGGAGAAGAUAAGGAAAGAGAGGGAUGAGUUAGAAAUCAUGAAGACAAAAAUACAGCGACAAAAGGAAAGGGUUGAACAAAAACUGGAAAAUACUGUCACUGAGAUAAAAGGUAAAAUAGAAAAAACUGGUGCAGAAAUGAACAACACUUGGGAGAAAAUGCAGAGAACCCAAAGGGAGAUUAGUAAGAACCAGGAAGAAGCCAAGAACUAUAUGGAAAAACUGACAUCCAUGAAAACUUGGGUCAACAAAUGGAUAUUGGCACAAUCUACAAUCAAACAUACUUUUUCAGUGAACGCAUCCAAACUUCAAGAAUCACAGUAUGAAAUAGACACAGACUCCCUUGAGGAUCAAACAUCAGCAAUUCCAAAGGACAAAAAAGGGAAAAAAAGUAUAACAGAUACAACAUCAUUACAAAAUUCUGUAACAUUAGAUGAUCAGCAUCAAAAUAAAAAAAUAAAAGAACAACAGAAGGAGCAUUUUGAAUCCAAAUAUUGUUUUGCAGAAGGCAAAAAUGGGGAGCAGGACUUUUGCUUACAGAUGCGAACUGAAAUUCAUGAAGAAGUAGUGCAUGAUAAAACUGAAUUACUGAUAAUUGUAAGAGAAAGGGAAGAAGUGGAAAAACUGAUACGUAACCUAAAGCAGCAAGAGGGGGAAAUAAAGGAACAAAUAAAGUACACUAUUGAUAACAUGAACGAAAAAACUCAAGAUAUAAAAAGGCUCAUUUUGGAAAUAAAUGACCUGCAGAGGGCAGACACUGUAAUUACAGUCGGGGAAACUGAAAAUGCCCAGGAAGUAUUAACUAAGCUGUUGGAAGAAACUGAACAGAGAAAGAUUUUGAUGCUGAACACCAAAGUUUUCAAAAAUGAAAUAAUAAAAUAUGAAGUACAAGAGGGGGACGAUGCCAAAAAAAUAAAACAAGAGUCUAGCUUGAUAAGGCUUAAUGUUAACAAGCAAAAACUAAUUCAGAAAUCAGGAGAAGAGAUGAAAAAACAUGUUGAACACACCGAUGAAGAUAAAAAGGACAGAGGAGCCGAUAUACAAAGACUCAGGGCAGAGAUUUACAAAACACAAGAGAUUAUAAGAACGCUAAGAGGAGGACUUGAGAACCUAGCGGAAAAAAAUAACAUGGACAAAUAUCAACAGAAUGAAGGCAGUGAAAUUGAAGGAUUGCUAAAAGACAUCAAACAGUUUCAAGAGUUUUUGGAAAUUGUAAAAACCAAAAUAAAGCAAAGUGAAGUACAUAUGACAGAAGAAAUGAGCAAUAUAAAAUCAAUGAAAACUGCAGUGAAAAAGAAGAGAAGAGAAUUAGAUCAAAGAUUAGAAAAUACUUUGAAAGAGAGAGAUGGAUUAGACAUCUUUAAAAUAAAAAUGCAGAGGCAAACUGAACUGAUUCGGCAGAAUUUAGAAAAAAUGGCAAAAGUUAAGAGCACAGUCGAGAAAAUAGCUGCUAAGACCAGAAGGAAAAUUGAAGAGAUAGAAAUUAGUAUGAAGGAGACUGAAAUAAAACUAAGACAGUUUAAAGACCUUGACUGCAUUAACCUUAACUUGACAAAAGGCGCAAAACCAGACAUGGAACAUGGUAGUACACCUAAGCAAAGAACUGCUCUUGAAAUUUUCAAGACUGAAAUUAAGAAGACAAUGGACAAUAAAAGAGAUAAACUGACAAAAAACAAAAUGGACAAAGAAACUGAGGGAACAGAAAGCCUCAAACAAGUUAAUGAGAAACUGGAGGAGGUAAAACUUUCAUUAGACAGUCUGGGUCAAAAAAAUAAAAAAUCAGUUAGUGAGAAUGUAAAACAAAUAAUCAAGAGAGAAGAGACUGAGAUGACAGAACAGAUCCAAACAGCGAUAAAGAAUGAGAAAAUGGUUAAACAGCUAACUGAAACAGAAAUACAGGAGGAACAGGUGAACCAUUUGAGGGAGAAAACUGAAAGAAAAGAACAGGAGCUUGAUGACGGAGUACACAUGACCAAAAGGCAAAUAAGAGAAAUGGAGCUGCUGCAAUCAGAAUUGAAAAUAAAGGUAAAAGAAUUUGAGCGUUUUUUUAGAAAAAGUAUGAGAAAAAAGGAGGAAAUUGAAAUAAUGUGGUAUGAAAUACAACAAGAAAAGGAAGCAUUGAGGACCGAGAUCAAAAAGAAAAGAAGAGAAUUAGACCAAAGACUGGAGAUGACUAUGAGAAAAAGGGAUGAACUAGAAGUGUUAAGGGUAAAAUUGAAACGACAGAUGGAAGAGCUGGCUGAGGAGAAGCAGAGAGACCAUAAUCUGUUCAUCCAUCUACCCAAUGAACAUGAAAAACAUUUUGGAAGGAAAGAUGUGAAAAUGUUAAUGGAGAAAAUCAAAAACCACAGCUUAAAAGUUUCUCAGUAUACUAUUUACAUCCAAGACAUAAGAGACAAGUUUAAUUUACACAUGGGAACAAUUAGGACAGAGAUGAAAAUUCUAGAAAAUGUGAAUGCUCAUUUAGAAAAGGACAAAAAAGGAUUCAGAGAAGUUGAGGCUGAAAAUAAGAAUAUAACAAACAAAAUGAAGAGGUUAAAAUAUCAGCUUAAUAUACUCUUUGGAAGAGUUACCAUACAAGACACUGCAGAGAUGGAUGAAACAAUCAACAUCUGGGAAAAAAUCCAAAGAGAAAAACAGAAGCUUGAUAUGAGACUAGAAAAUAUUAAAAGGGAAAGACAAGAGAUAGAAGUUCUGGUGGUUGAGCUGGAGAUGAAGAAAAGAGAAAACCAACGUGUAAUCAAAAGAAGCAUUCAAAAAGAACAGAAGAUAAAAAGAAUAUGGGCUACUUUCAAAGAAGAAAGAACUGCCCUCGUGAGAGAAACAAAGCAGAAAAAGGAGGUUGAACAACGACGAGAGGAGAUCAUCAAACAUCAAGGUGAACAAGAAAUAAAGCAGAAGUUGCAAAAAGAAAAGAAAGGGAUGCAAAGUGAAAUUGAAGACAUGAGGAUGAAAGAAAAAAGGAAACAAAUUCAAAAACAAUGGGAACUAAUCAAGAAAUACUUAGGGGAAUAUAAAAAGGUAAUUAAAAACACUCAAUUCAUCAUUGGAAUAAUUCAGAAUGAAAAUAAACACAUGCAAGACCAAAAAAAUUUCUACAUGACCAAAAGGAAAGAAACACUGAAUAUUAAAAGUGAAUUAAAUAGGCAAAAGGAAAUUAUACGGUGUGCAUUAAAAAACAUACAACAAGAGCCAAAACAUGGGGAACAAGUGGAGACAAAAAUCAAGACGGAGCAAGGAAAGCAUGAAAAUGAAAGGGAAAAAAUAUAUGAGAUAGAAAAAGAUGCCUUGGAUGACUUAAGUGCAGACGAGAGUCAAGACAAAGAGGAUCUUGAAAGAGUGAAAGAGUUGUUGAAAAAGAACCAGAAACUUGACAUGAGAGGCUGUAAAAUCAAAAAAGAAAUAGACAUAUUAAAACAAAAAAAUGAAAACAUAAAAGAGGAAAGGAAAACAACUGAAAUAAAAGAAACUGAAAAAAAAAUGAAACUGAAAGAUUUCAAUAAAAUGUUUUGGGGCAAACAAAAAGAAAAACACAGUACUGAGUAUCUGACUGUAAAGAAAGAAUAUAAAAGAGAAACGACUAAGGAUGGUAUAAAAAGGGUGAUCUUACAAGACACAAAACAAGACUUGAUAAAAAAAGAGAUAAAAAAAUGUAACCAGGAAAAAGAAAAAGUCAUCCAGAUGAAAACUAGACGUGAGAAUAGAAAAGAACUGUUGUUGAAGGUAAGGAGAAACAUCAAAGAUGAAGAGAAAGAGAUGGAAAUGAGAGGAGACCAAGUCAUGGAUGAAAUGAAAUCGCUAGAGAUUCUGAAAGUGAAACUUCAACAACUGAAGGGGGAUAUAAAAGCCAAAAUGGAGAGAUUACUACAAAAUGUUGACAACAGGUCAAGGCUGCAAACAGUGUUGGAAGAAAAACUUCCAACCCAAGACGAACUGAAAGAAAGCAUUCGCUGUUUCACUGAAAUGUUAGAGAGAGAAAAGGAAGGUGUGAGAAGUAUCCUUUCAGACAUGGUCACCAAGAGAGAAUGCACAGAAAAUGAAUGGAAGCAGCAGUUUGAACUGGACAAACGAGAGCUUGAUAAAGUGAAAGAAGAUCUGAGACACGACAGAGAAGAUCUGGAGAGAGAAAGUGAGGUGCUGAAUAAAGAGAAAAUGGAUUUGAAGGUGUUGAUGUCUGACAUCAUGAAACAAUUUGAAAUAUUGGAAGAAAAGAAACAAAAUAUAAAAGAAGAACGAGACUCAAUGGAAACCAUAAAGCUUGAACUGCUCAAUAAGAUGGAACAUGUAAACAGGCUGUUACAUGAGACAAAUGACGAAAAAGCCAAGAUUAAAAAUUGUAUCCUUCAGGUUCAAAUGGAAAAAGAAAGACUUGAAGACAUUUUAAGCAAGAUUUUCUUAACACAUAAUGAAGAAAAAGUCAAGGAAUAUGGCCUCAGAAGACAAACAAAAGAAGUGGAAAUCAUGAAAAAGGAAUUACAGAGUGAAAGAGCAAAAGUGGAGAGUCUGAUGAGGAAUCUGAAGAAGAAGCAAGAAGAGCUUGAACGUGCAAAGGAAAUCAUGAGUGGAGAAAAAGAAGAGAUGAAAGAGAUGAAGACUGACAUUGCCAAAGAACGAGAACUGUUGUUGAAGGAAAGGAGAAAUAUGGAAGAAGAGCGGUCUGAGAUGGAAAUGAGAGGAGACCAAGUCAUGGAUGAAAUGAAAUUGCUAGAGAUUCUGAAAGUGAAACUUCAACAACUGAAGGAGGAUAUAAAAGCCAAAAUGGAGAGAUUACUACAAAAUGUUGACAACAGGUCAAGGCUGCAAACAGUGUUGGAAGAAAAACUUCCAACCCAAGACGAACUGAAAGAAAGCAUUCGCUGUUUCACUGAAAUGUUAGAGAGAGAAAAGGAAGGUGUGAGAAGUAUCCUUUCAGAAAUGGUCACCAAGAGAGAAAGCACAGAAAAUGAAUGGAAGCAGCAGGUUGAACUGGACAAACGAGAGCUUGAUGAAGUGAAAGAAGAUCUGAGACACGACAGAGAAGAUCUGGAGAGAGAAAGUGAGGUGCUGAAUAAAGAGAAAAUGGAUUUGAAGGUGUUGAUGUCUGACAUCAUGAAACAAUUUGAAAUAUUGGAAGAAAAGAAACAAAAUAUAAAAGAAGAACGAGACUCAAUGGAAACCAUAAAGCUUAAACUGCUCAAUAAGAUGGAACAUGUAAACAGGCUGUUACAUGAGACAAAUGACGAAAAAGCCAAGAUUAAAAAUUGUAUCCUUCAGGUUCAAAUGGAAAAAGAAAGACUUGAAGACAUUUUAAGCAAGAUUUUCUUAACACAUAAUGAAGAAAAAGUCAAGGAAGAUGACCUCAGAAUACAAACAAAAGAAGUGGAAAUCAUGAAAAAGGAAUUACAGAGUGAAAGAGCAAAAGUGGAGAGUCUGAUGAGGAAUCUGAAGAAGAAGCAAGAAGAGCUUGAACGUGCAAAGGAAAUCAUGAGUGAAGAAAAAGAAGAGAUGAAAGAGAUGAAGACUGACAUUGCCAAAGAACGAGAACUGUUGUUGAAGGAAAGGAGAAAUAUGGAAGAAGAGCGGUCUGAGAUGGAAAUGAGAGGAGACCAAGUCAUGGAUGAAAUGAAAUUGCUAGAGAUUCUGAAAGUGAAACUUCAACAACUGAAGGAGGAUAUAAAAGCCAAAAUGGAGAGAUUACUACAAAAUGUUGACAACAGGUCAAGGCUGCAAACAGUGUUGGAAGAAAAACUUCCAACCCAAGACGAACUGAAAGAAAGCAUUCGCUGUUUCACUGAAAUGUUAGAGAGAGAAAAGGAAGGUGUGAGAAGUAUCCUUUCAGACAUGGUCACCAAGAGAGAAUGCACAGAAAAUGAAUGGAAGAAGCAGUUUGAACUGGACAAACGAGAACUUGAUAAAGUGAAAGAAGAUCUGAGACAUGACAGAGAAGAUCUGGAGAGAGAAAGUGAGGUGUUGAAUAAAGAGAAAAUGGAUUUGAAGGUGUUGAUGUCUGACAUCAUGAAACAAUUUGAAAUAUUGGAAGAAAAGAAACAAAAUAUAAAAGAAGAACGAGACUCAAUGGAAACCAUAAAGCUUGAACUGCUCAAUAAGAUGGAACAUGUAAACAGGCUGUUACAUGAGACAAAUGACGAAAAAGCCAAGAUUAAAAAUUGUAUCCUUCAGGUUCAAACGGAAAAAGAAAGACUUGAAGACAUUUUAAGCAAGAUUUUCUUAACACAUAAUGAAGAAAAAGUCAAGGAAGAUGGCCUCAGAAGACAAACAAAAGAAGUGGAAAUCAUGAAAAAGGAAUUACAGAGUGAAAGAGCAAAAGUGGAGAGUCUGAUGAGGAAUCUGAAGAAGAAGCAAGAAGAGCUUGAACGUGCAAAGGGAAUCAUGAGUGAAGAAAAAGAAGAGAUGAAAGAGAUGAAGACUGACAUUGCCAAAGAACGAGAACUGUUGUUGAAAGAAAGGAGAAAUAUGGAAGAAGAGCGGUCUGAGAUGGAAAUGAGAGGAGACCAAGUCAUGGAUGAAAUGAAAUUGCUAGAGAUUCUGAAAGUGAAACUUCAACAACUGAAGGAGGAUAUAAAAGCCAAAAUGGAGAGAUUACUACAAAAUGUUGACAACAGGUCAAGGCUGCAAACAGUGUUGGAAGAAAAACUUCCAACCCAAGACGAACUGAAAGAAAGCAUUCGCUGUUUCACUGAAAUGUUAGAGAGAGAAAAGGAAGGUGUGAGAAGUAUCCUUUCAGAAAUGGUCACCAAGAGAGAAUGCACAGAAAAUGAAUGGAAGCAGCAGUUUGAACUGGACAAACGAGAGCUUGAUAAAGUGAAAGAAGAUCUGAGACACGACAGAGAAGAUCUGGAGAGAGAAAGUGAGGUGUUGAAUAAAGAGAAAAUGGAUUUGAAGGUGUUGAUGUCUGACAUCAAGAAACAAUUUGAAAUAUUGGAAGAAAAGAAACAAAAUAUAAAAGAAGAACGAGACUCAAUGGAAACCAUAAAGCUUGAACUGCUCAAUAAGAUGGAACAUGUAAACAGGCUGUUACAUGAGACAAAUGACGAAAAAGCCAAGAUUAAAAAUUGUAUCCUUCAGGUUCAAACGGAAAAAGAAAGACUUGAAGACAUUUUAAGCAAGAUUUUCUUAACACAUAAUGAAGAAAAAGUCAAGGAAGAUGAACUCAGAAGUCAAACAAAAGAAGUGGAAAUCAUGAAAAAGGAAUUACAGAGUGAAAGAGCAAAAGUGGAGAGUCUGAUGAGGAAUCUGAAGAAGAAGCAAGAAGAGCUUGAACGUGCAAAGGGAAUCAUGAGUGAAGAAAAAGAAGAGAUGAAAGAGAUGAAGACUGACAUUGCCAAAGAACGAGAACUGUUGUUGAAGGAAAGGAGAAAUAUGGAAGAAGAGCGGUCUGAGAUGGAAAUGAGAGGAGACCAAGUCAUGGAUGAAAUGAAAUUGCUAGAGAUUCUGAAAGUGAAACUUCAACAACUGAAGGAGGAUAUAAAAGCCAAAAUGGAGAGAUUACUACAAAAUGUUGACAACAGGUCAAGGCUGCAAACAGUGUUGGAAGAAAAACUUCCAACCCAAGACGAACUGAAAGAAAGCAUUCGCUGUUUCACUGAAAUGUUAGAGAGAGAAAAGGAAGGUGUGAGAAGUAUCCUUUCAGAAAUGGUCACCAAGAGAGAAAGCACAGAAAAUGAAUGGAAGCAGCAGUUUGAAUUGGACAAACGAGAGCUUGAUGAAGUGAAAGAAAAUCUGAGACACGACAGAGAAGAUCUGGAGAGAGAAAGUGAGGUGCUGAAUAAAGAGAAAAUGGAUUUGAAGGUGUUGAUGUCUGACAUCAAGAAACAAUUUGAAAUAUUGGAAGAAAAGAAACAAAAUAUAAAAGAAGAACGAGACUCAAUGGAAACCAUAAAGCUUGAACUGCUCAAUAAGAUGGAACAUGUAAACAGGCUGUUACAUGAGACAAAUGACGAAAAAGCCAAGAUUAAAAAUUGUAUCCUUCAGGUUCAAACGGAAAAAGAAAGACUUGAAGACAUUUUAAGCAAGAUUUUCUUAACACAUAAUGAAGAAAAAGUCAAGGAAGAUGAACUCAGAAGUCAAACAAAAGAAGUGAAAAUCAUGAAAAAGGAAUUACAGAGUGAAAGAGCAAAAGUGGAGAGUCUGAUGAGGAAUCUGAAGAAGAAGCAAGAAGAGCUUGAACGUGCAAAGGGAAUCAUGAGUGAAGAAAAAGAAGAGAUGAAAGAGAUGAAGACUGACAUUGCCAAAGAACAAGAACUGUUGUUGAAGGAAAGGAGAAAUAUGGAAGAAGAGCGGUCUGAGAUGGAAAUGAGAGGAGACCAAGUCAUGGAUGAAAUGAAAUUGCUAGAGAUUCUGAAAGUGAAACUUCAACAACUGAAGGAGGAUAUAAAAGCCAAAAUGGAGAGAUUACUACAAAAUGUUGACAACAGGUCAAGGCUGCAAACAGUGUUGAAAGAAAAACUUCCAACCCAAGAUGAACUGAAAGAAAGCAUUCGCUGUUUCACUGAAAUGUUAGAGAGAGAAAAGGAAGGUGUGAGAAGUAUCCUUUCAGACAUGGUCACCAAGAGAGAAUGCACAGAAAAUGAAUGGAAGCAGCAGUUUGAACUGGACAAACGAGAGCUUGAUGAAGUGAAAGAAGAUCUGAGACACGACAGAGAAGAUCUGGAGAGAGAAAGUGAGGAGCUGAAUAGAGAGAAAAUGGAUUUGAAGGUGUUGAUGUCUGACAUCAAGAAACAAUUUGAAAUAUUGGAAGAAAAGAAACAAAAUAUAAAAGAAGAACGAGACUCAAUGGAAAUCAUAAAGCUUGAACUGCUCAAUAAGAUGGAACAUGUAAACAGGCUGUUACAUGAGACAAAUGAAGAAAAAGCCAAGAUUAAAAAUUGUAUCCUUCAGGUUCAAAUGGAAAAAGAAAGACUUGAAGACAUUUUAAGCAAGAUUUUCUUAACACAUAAUGAAGAAAAAGUCAAGGAAGAUGACCUCAGAAGACAAACAAAAGAAGUGGAAAUCAUGAAAAAGGAAUUACAGAGUGAAAGAGCAAAAGUGGAGAGUCUGAUGAGGAAUCUGAAGAAGAAGCAAGAAGAGCUUGAACGUGCAAAGGGAAUCAUGAGUGAAGAAAAAGAAGAGAUGAAAGAGAUGAAGACUGACAUUGCCAAAGAACAAGAACUGUUGUUGAAGGAAAGGAGAAAUGUGGAAGAACAGCAGUCUGGGAUGGAAAUGAGGGGAGACCAAGUCAUGGAUGAAAUGAAAUCACUAGAGAUUCUGAAAGUGAAACUAAUUGCGAGGAAAUCCCUGAAAGGUGAACUGUCUGAUGUACAACCCAGAGAGGACAUCCUCAGUAGUGUUACAAUCUCUACAAGAAACCUUAUAGGAAAACUAAAUAGACUGAUUCAUCAAGACUUGCCGACAUAUAUUAAGAGAGUAGAGGGGGAAAAUGAAAAAAUAUUACAAGUGAUCUCCACAUAUGAACAAAAUUGGGUCAGAAUUUAUAAGCAGAAAAUUAAAAUUACUGCAGAUUAUGACAAGAUACAACAACAAAAGAAACAUGUGUUUAAGACAACAUUUGACAAAGCAAUCCAAACUGAGGAUGUUGUAAAACAAUGCUUACAUGAGCAUCAGGAUGAAGAGACCAAUGAACAUGAAUUUAAGCAGAGGAUGAAGGAUGUUGCAGUUAAUCUUGAAGGAAGCAAAAGAUACUUGACACCUGACAAGGAAGGUCUGCUGUUAGUAGGAGAAGGUGAAGAAUUUGGAAAUGUCAAGAAAACAAAUCUUGCAACGUUGUCCAUCUUGUCAGCAGAGGAAGAUGACUUCACACAGAAGGGAAUUUUAAAAACUGAGUUUUUGAAACAAAUCUGGAAGGACACUAGAAUAGAACGAAAUGAAAUAAAUCAGAUGAAGCUCAGAGGUCAAGAAAUGAGAAACAAUAUGGAUAAAAGAGUAAAGGUGAUCAAUCAUUUUGUUAGGAGAUCAAUAUUUCAGAAAGAAAAGACAUCAGUUGAGAAAACAAGAAAAAUGUUGGAACAUGGGCAAAGUAAUACGUUUUUAUCUGUAAGUGGCAGGGAUGGAGAACACAAAUCACUUGAUGAAAAAUAUACCGAGCUCCAACAACUUAAGGUCCGCAUGCUUAGUGAGAUUGAGAAAUUCUACAUACAAAACAAAGCGUCUAAGACACUGACAACUAGCAACAAAGCUAAUCAAACAGUUCAACUAGAUUCUCCAAAUAUCUAUCAAGAGCAAAUAAAGGUAGAAGAAUCUGAAGCAGCACCAGAGAGAUCUCCUGGACUCCUCAGUCAGCUCAGACUUUCCUGUUAUCGCUGUUGCUCCCGUUAUUGUGCCUACUGCAAGCAAGGAUGUAUAAAGAAAAAAUGAGAGGCAAGAAAAGUGCUACAUAAAAAUCAGUCCAUUUACCUUUUGUUUUACUUUUUAGUUAUAUUAAUAUGUGUGUAUUUGGAAAAUGUGUUUUUCCCGUUAAUCAUAUUAACCUAACAACGUAAGAGUACCAGUCUGAUGUCAAUCAUCUAAUUUUUAAACAACUAGUUAUGUAAUGUAAAAGUAUUCCUUUAACAUGUUAUUUUUUUCACAAAUGCAAAAUAUUAAAGUUUAACAGAUAAUCUUAACAUUUCUAAUUACAUUUUUAUGCUGAUUUCUAAUUAAUCUUCUUUCAACAUAUUUAUUCUGUUGUCUUGUGUUAGAAUACAGAAGCACAAAGAAUACAGUAAAAUCAAAACUAACAAGAAUAUUUGAAAACUGUGACUCC
ensembl:lncRNA